GGACGGGGGCUCCACCGCCGCCCUGGGCAGCAAGUGCCCGUGCCCGAGAGCCCUUUGGGUGAAGAAAUCUUUCCUGGUGCCCAGUCUGAACCCGCCCUGGCGCAGCCCGAGGCCAUUUCAGAGCAAGGGCUUCGUUCUGAUCCCCGUCUGUGGGGAGGAGAGAGCUGCAAGCGCCGAGGUGGACAAGAGGGUCAGGAAUGAAGAAGCAGCGCUUCGUUUUUAAGAGGCCACGCAGCGAAUCCCUGGCGACGGGAGCUUUCUGAGCGCAGACAGCCGUGGGGAACAAGCACGGCGGGCAAAGAAGCCCGAAGAGGGCACUCUCUGCCGGGAGUGCCCCCGGCCCCGGCCGAGCGCUGCGAGGGAGAGGAGGCGGCGCCGAGCCCGGCCCGCGCAGCCUCGAACCCCGCCCCGUGCGCGGCACAACUCUCAGCUCAACGGAGGAAGGAUUCCUGUCUGUGGUGUUACCUUUCAAGAGCCUGAGAAUGAUCCUGGCAACUCUUGCUACUUGUGGGCUGUUCAGUCUACACCAAAAAGGGGAGGUGGUGUCUUGAGUUUCCGGCUGUUGCAGUUAACCUUUUUGGUAAACGAAGAUGCGUGGCAUCAGGACAAGUCAUGUAUGAAGUAAGAGGGUUUGGCACGCUGUGAAGAAAGGUUCCGUUUAGAUCUCAGGGAUGGAAACUUCCCCUGGGCAGGGCAGAACAGCAAUAUGAAAUUACUCGGGUGUCAGAUGACAGAAAGUUUCAGUGACGAUGUUGAUGAAGACAACAGCAUUAAUGGAGGUUUGUUCUGAUGUCCGUGUUGGGUUGAUCUGCUGGAGGGAAGGAAGGCUCUUCCUUCCUCUGCGGGGAAAAUCAUAGAGCCCUACUUUGCUUACAUCCAGAGAACGCACUCUCGCCAGAGAAGAGAGGUCAUGCAAUUUCUUGAGAGAACUGUAACAGUGUGAAUGUUUUAUGUUGGAAUCUUGAUUUGCAUUUCCUGGUGGUUGAGUUUGGGGGUUUUCUACCCAUUUUGUGUGAUAAGAGUGUUCUUUUCUCCUGAAUCUGCUGAGAAGGAGCUACUCUUGAAAGGUGUCACUGAGUCAGCUGUGGGAAUUGGUUGUGCCAUUGGAGUGAUACAAGCGGAUACGAUCACUAUUUGUCUGCUUUCAGAAGGGGACAAUGUCUAUGUUCCUAGCAUGUUUUUUGCUAAGCAGUUCAUCUAGCUGAAUGUCUUGAUCAACUCUUCACGUAUGGAAAACUUAAAUUAACUCAUGACUGUGUGUUUGGUUUGGCUUAGCAUGGAUGCAAUUUGAAGAAGAAAAAGGGGCGGUGUGUCUGGAACCCGUCUCGGAGCUGUUUGCCCUUUGUUUGACGCUGUGCCCUUUGACAAAUGUUAAAUGAAUGCAAUAGUAACCAAUGAUUGUUUUACAAAUGUAUAACCAAACCAAUCAAAUUUAGGGAAUGACUAAGUAGAAUGUAGUGAAAGAUACAUA